rnacentral:rRNA from 1 species
UCAGAUUGAACGCUGGCGGCAGGCCUAACACAUGCAAGUCGAACGGUAACAGGAAGCAGCUUGCUUCUUGCUGACGAGUGGCGGACGGGUGAGUAAUGUCUGGGAAACUGCCUGAUGGAGGGGGAUAACUACUGGAAACGGUAGCUAAUACCGCAUAACGUCGCAAGACCAAAGAGGGGGACCUUCGGGCCUCUUGCCAUCGGAUGUGCCCAGAUGGGAUUAGCUUGUUGGUGGGGUAACGGCUCACCAGGCGACGAUCCCUAGCUGGUCUGAGAGGAUGACCAGCCACACUGGAACUGAGACACGGUCCAGACUCCUACGGGAGGCAGCAGUGGGGAAUAUUGCACAAUGGGCGCAAGCCUGAUGCAGCCAUGCCGCGUGUAUGAAGAAGGCCUUCGGGUUGUAAAGUACUUUCAGCGGGGAGGAAGGGAGUAAAGUUAAUACCUUUGCUCAUUGACGUUACCCGCAGAAGAAGCACCGGCUAACUCCGUGCCAGCAGCCGCGGUAAUACGGAGGGUGCAAGCGUUAAUCGGAAUUACUGGGCGUAAAGCGCACGCAGGCGGUUUGUUAAGUCAGAUGUGAAAUCCCCGGGCUCAACCUGGGAACUGCAUCUGAUACUGGCAAGCUUGAGUCUCGUAGAGGGGGGUAGAAUUCCAGGUGUAGCGGUGAAAUGCGUAGAGAUCUGGAGGAAUACCGGUGGCGAAGGCGGCCCCCUGACGAAGACU